UACGGAGGGUGCAAGCGUUAUCCGGAUUUACUGGGUUUAAAGGGUGUGUAGGCGGACUUUUAAGUCAGCGGUGAAAUCUCCGGGCUCAACCCGGAAACUGCCAUUGAUACUAUUGGUCUUGAAUAUUGUGGAGGUGGGCGGAACGGGUCAUGUAGCGGUGAAAUGCUUAGAGAUGACCCGGAACACCGAUUGCGAAGGCAGCCCACUACGCAAUGAUUGACGCUGGAGGCAACGGAAAGCGUGGGGAUCAAACAGG
rnacentral:rRNA from 1 species